UACGGAGGGGGCUAGCGUUGUUCGGAAUUACUGGGCGUAAAGCGUGCGCAGGCGGUUCGUUGUGUCGGCGGUGAAAGCCCCGGGCUUAACCUGGGAAUGGCCGUUGAAACUGGCGAACUGGAGUGUGGCAGAGGGGGGUGGAAUUCCGCGUGUAGCAGUGAAAUGCGUAGAGAUGCGGAGGAACACCGAUGGCGAAGGCAGCCCCCUGGGCUAACACUGACGCUCAGGCACGAAAGCGUGGGGAGCAAACAGG
rnacentral:rRNA from 1 species